rnacentral:rRNA from 1 species
UCGGGAAUUUUGGGCAAUGGGCGAAAGCCUGACCCAGCAACGCCGCGUGAGGGAUGAAGUAUUUCGGUAUGUAAACCUCGAAAGAAUGGGAAGAAUAAAUGACGGUACCAUUUAUAAGCUCCGGCUAACUACGUGCCAGCAGCCGCGGUAAUACGUAGGGAGCAAGCGUUGUUCGGAUUUACUGGGCGUAAAGGGCGCGUAGGCGGCGCGGUAAGUCACUUGUGAAAUCUCUGAGCUUAACUCAGAACGGCCAAGUGAUACUGCUGUGCUAGAGUGCGGAAGAGGCAACCGGAAUUCUUGGUGUAGCGGUGAGAUGCGUAGAUAUCAAGAGGAACACCUGAGGCGAAGGCGGGUUGCUGGGCCGACACUGACGCUGAUGCGCGAAAGCCAGGGGAG